rnacentral:rRNA from 1 species
AGUGAACGCUGGCGGUAGGCCUAACACAUGCAAGUCGAACGGCAGCACAGUAAGAGCCUGCUCUUACGGGUGGCGAGUGGCGGACGGGUGAGGAAUACAUCGGAAUCUACUUUUUCGUGGGGGAUAACGUAGGGAAACUUACGCUAAUACCGCAUACGACCUACGGGUGAAAGCAGGGGAUCUUCGGACCUUGCGCGAUUGAAUGAGCCGAUGUCGGAUUAGCUAGUUGGCGGGGUAAAGGCCCACCAAGGCGACGAUCCGUAGCUGGUCUGAGAGGAUGAUCAGCCACACUGGAACUGAGACACGGUCCAGACUCCUACGGGAGGCAGCAGUGGGGAAUAUUGGACAAUGGGCGCAAGCCUGAUCCAGCCAUACCGCGUGGGUGAAGAAGGCCUUCGGGUUGUAAAGCCCUUUUGUUGGGAAAGAAAAGCAGCAGGUUAAUACCCCGCUGUUCCGACGGUACCCAAAGAAUAAGCACCGGCUAACUUCGUG